CUUACUUAAUAAGGAAAUAAUUAAGAAAAAAUAAGGGAUUCUAAGAGUAAUUAGUUAACCCUAAUUAAUUCACUAAUUACCUAAACAUUAGAAUCCACCCACCUAAUUGACCGUCACUUCCAACUUCACUUUGGAGAAACUACCCUAGAUCUAAUCGCGAUCCCGUCCAGCGGCAAUCGUCUCCAACGCCGCCUUCCAACUUCACUUUGGAGAAACCCUAGAUCUAAUCGGCGAUCUCUUCUCCGGCAAUCGUCUCCUGCUCCGACACCACUGCUUUUGAUAAACUCUUUCAUUGUCUUUUCCUUUCACCGAUCUUCUUUAUGUUUGUGCUAAUAGCGCAGAGGACGCCACCCUCCCCGCAAUGACCGAUGAGAGCGGUGCGGUUUCCGACGGUGCCCUUUCAGUUUCCCCAAAUUUCAGGCGUAUAGGCGAUUUUUCCGACGGAGAUGAUGGAUUAAUCUAGCCGGGCCAAGUUUGACGCAGUCCAAUACCGAUUGACGGUUCGUCGGGACAGUGAGAACUUGCGUUGGGCGUCCUUGAAGAUGCCCCGAGGUGGUGUGCCGUCAACACAAGCCCCCAUAAUAAAUUGGACGACAAGAUUAAUUUUUUGUGUGGAAGACUCCUUUUUGCCCACCAUGACUUCCUUUAAAUCUGUUAGUGUUAGUGUUAGGAAGCAAUUUAAUGUUCAAAAUCUAUUUAUAGAUAUUGCCUCAUCUAUUCUUAAUUCUGCCGCCAAACUUGAAUAUUUCAAAAUGAAAUGGAUGAAAGUUAAAUAUGCCGCCAA